UACCUAUAAAUAUUAUCAUGGACAGUGGCAGUGGGUUCAACUCCCCUACCCAAAAUUUAUGGUUAGUACGGUACACGUGCGUAUUUAAGAAUUUAUUGAAUUUAUGGAUUAACUAAAACCCAAAAGCUUUUUUUUAUAUCCUCCCUUCCAAAUUAAUUUCCAUAAACGCCACUGACCAUGAUCAUGGGCAAAGUGAAACACUUAAAACAAUUUUAAGAAGGUAGUUAACACACUGAGUGUAGCGGGGAACGUAUUGGUUUUUCUGUUUGU